UGGGGAAUAUUGCACAAUGGGCGCAAGCCUGAUGCAGCCAUGCCGCGUGUGUGAAGAAGGCCUUCGGGUUGUAAAGCACUUUCAGCGGGGAGGAAGGCGGUGAGGUUAAUAACCUCAUCGAUUGACGUUACCCGCAGAAGAAGCACCGGCUAACUCCGUGCCAGCAGCCGCGGUAAUACGGAGGGUGCAAGCGUUAAUCGGAAUUACUGGGCGUAAAGCGCACGCAGGCGGUCUGUCAAGUCGGAUGUGAAAUCCCCGGGCUCAACCUGGGAACUGCACUCGAAACUGGCAGGCUAGAGUCGUGUAGAGGGGGGUAGAAUUCCAGGGGUAGCGGUGAAAUGCGUAGAGAUAUGGAGGAAUACCGGUGGCGAAGGCGGCGACCUGGAAAAAGACUGACGCUCAGGUGCGAAAGAGUGGGGAGCAAACAGG
rnacentral:rRNA from 1 species